CCAUGCAGGACGUCCUUAGAUAUGGUUGGCUGCGGCUAGCACAGAUGAUGAAAACAAGUCAACCUGGACCAGAAGAACAGCGGUGAAGGGUCUACAACAUAGAUUGCCCUGACAACAUUAAGUAUCCCCCAGACUUAGGGUCUUCUAUACCCGAAGUCAAUUCAUUUGGGACCAUAGACCUUUCACCUGCCCUUCCUGCUCCAACAGGCAACUUCAGCUUCCACUCUCCAAUACGAGCAAGAGAUGGAGUCGAGCAGUCUCAAAGAAUUCUUUAAGUAUACUUUUUGUAUCAACCCUUCAAUUUUCCAAAAGCACAUUAUCUUCAGUCCCUCAUCUUUUCUUCGUACUGAUUUUCAAACAUCAAACUGUUCAUGAGCUGCUUAAAUUUUCUCAAACCAAAGGUACACAGACCCUUUAAUGUUUGGCUUGACUUUGUUUGGAUUGGUCACCCAGUUGGUUGUGGCAUAUAAUGCUCCAAGCUCAUGUUGUGUUGUCUCACAAAAACCAAGAUCUUUGGCGGUCUUUAAACUUACCAAACAUCAUUUGUCAUGUAUUUUUCAAAAUGUGGCAUUCUUGUGAUUUUUAUUAUGAGAUUUUUAUUGUCAUGUAUGCUUUGAUUUGAUGUAGGUUGCCAUGCAGGACGUCCUUAGACAGGGUUGGCUGCUGCUAGCACUGAUGAUGAAAGCAUGUAAACCUGCAACAAAAGAACGUCGGUGAAGGGUCUACAACAUCGUUUGCCAUGACAUCAUUGAAGAUCGAGGAGGCUCUUGAAGAGGGUCGGAACACUCCAAGCAGACCACCUUGCUUUCAAGAUGGUAGAGAUUGAAUAGAAACAGUCUAACGAGAACAGCAGUGAUGAACACGGCGUCUAGAGUCCACGUCAAGACAACUGCCUCAAACCAUCAUGAGAACACUGGUUGGAUACUUUUUGUAUCAACCCUCCAAAAAAGCACAUUGUGCCAGUUCCUCAAAAUUUGUCAUCCAACUGUUCAUGAACUGCUUAAACUUUCUCAAACCAAAUUGUAUACAGGCCCUUUCACUUUGGCUCGACUUUGUUUGGACUGGUCACCCAGUUGUUUGCAAAAUAAAAAGUUCCAAACUCAUAUUGUGUUAGUAUUUUUAGAAGCUUUACAUGGUGUGGAGACAUAAGAAGAAACUAUAAAUUAAUAGUAAACUUGUGGGUACAACCAUGUGUAAAUCUCUUAGGGUGAGUGUUGCGUGUUCCCUUAUUUGAGUAGUGUUCAUUUUAAGCC